rnacentral:rRNA from 1 species
GAUGAACGCUGGCGGCGUGCCUAAUACAUGCAAGUCGAACGCAUUGAGAGAAGUGCUUGCACUUUUCAAUUUGAGUGGCGAACGGGUGAGUAACACGUGGGCAACCUACCUGAUAGCGGGGGAUAACGAGUGGAAACAUUCGCUAAUACCGCAUAACAAUAGAGAAGGCAUCUUCUUUAUUUAAAAGGCGCUUUCAAGCGUCACUAUCAGAUGGGCCCGCGGUGCGUUAGCUAGUUGGUGGGGUGAAGGCCUACCAAGACGAUGAUGCAUAGCCGAGUUGGGAGACUGAUCAGCCACAUUGGGACUGAGACAAGCCCCAAACUCCUACGGGAGGCUGCAGUAGGGUAUCUUCCACAAUGGACGAAAGUCUGAUGGAGCAACGCCGCGUGUGUGAUGAAGGCUUUCGGGUCGUAAAGCACUGUUGUAUGGGAAGAAAUGCUGGGCUAGGAAAUGAGCUUAGUUUGACGGUACCAUACCAGAAAGGGACGGCUAAAUACGUGCCAGCCGCCGCCGUAA